CUUCGGUCCCAAGUUCCUUGGAACAGGGCGUCCCAGAGGGUGAGAAUCCCGUACGCGGUCGAAGAUCAAGCCCGUGCGAAGCCCUUUCGACGAGUCGAGUUGUUUGGGAAUGCAGCUCCAAACGGGUGGUAAAUUUCAUCUAAAGCUAAAUAUUUGCCGGAGACCGAUAGCGCACAAGUAGAGUGAUCGAAAGAUGAAAAGAACUUUGAAAAGAGAGUCAAAAAGUACGUGAAAUUGUUAAAAGGGAAGCGCUUGCAACCAGACUCGUUCGCGGGUGUUCAGCCGUUCCUCGGGACGGUGCAUUCCCCCGCGAGCGGGCCAGCAUCGGUUUCGGCGGCUGGAUAAAAACCUCGGGAAUGUAGCUUUUUUCGGAAAGUGUUAAGCCCGGGGCGUAAUACAGCCAGCCGGGACCGAGGAUCGCGCAUUCGCAAGGAUGCNGGCGNAANGGUUGCCAGCGACCCGUCUUGAAACACGGACCAAGGAGUCGACCAANCGAGCAAGUGUUUGGGUGUCAAACCCCGGCGCGAAAUGAAAGUGAACGGAGGUGAGAGCCUUCGGGUGCAUCAUCGACCGAUCCUGAUGUCUUCGGAUGGAUUUGAGUACGAGCUUGGCUGGUCGGACCCGAAAGAUGGUGAACUAUACGUGAAUAGGGUGAAGCCAGAGGAAACUCUGGUGGAGGCUCGCAGCGGUUCUGACGUGCAAAUCGAUCGUCAAAUUUGCGUAUAGGGGCGAAAGACUAAUCGAACCUUCUAGUAGCUGGUUCCUGUCGAAGUUUCCCUCAGGAUAGCAGCAGCGGAAAACAGUCUCAUGAGGUAGAGCAACGAUUAGAGGCCUUGGGGUUGUAACAACCUUAACCUAUUCUCGAACUUCGAAUAUGUGAGAAGUCCUUGUUACUUAAUUGAACGGGGACAUUGGAUUGCCGGCAGCCC
rnacentral:rRNA from 1 species